rnacentral:rRNA from 1 species
GUAUGCGAUCAUAUUAGUACUAAUGUAUCGGAUUCCAUGGGAACUCCGUAGUUAAGCAUGCUUGGGUGAUGUGUUGUAGUUUUGUACAUACC